rnacentral:rRNA from 1 species
GAUGAACGCUUGCGGCAGGCUUAACACAUGCAAGUCGAGGGGUAACGAUAUCUUCGGAUAGGCGACGACCGGCGGACGGGUGCGUAACACGUAUGCAACCUACCUUGUACAGGAGGAUAGCCCAGAGAAAUUUGGAUUAAUACUCCAUAGUAUUAUCGAAUCGCAUGAUUUGAUAAUUAAAACUCCGGUGGUACAAGAUGGACAUGCGUCCCAUUAGCUAGUUGGUAAGGUAACGGCUUACCAAGGCAACGAUGGGUAGGGGUUCUGAGAGGAUGAUCCCCCACACUGGUACUGAGACACGGACCAGACUCCUACGGGAGGCAGCAGUGAGGAAUAUUGGUCAAUGGGCGCAAGCCUGAACCAGCCAUGCCGCGUGCAGGAAGACGGCCCUAUGGGUUNUAAACUGCUUUUCNGUAGGAAGAAUAUUAUCUACGUGUAGAUAACUGACGGUACUACAGGAAUAAGGACCGGCUAACUCCGUGCCAGCAGCCG